UGUCGGUAUGACCUUGUUCUGAUGGAAAACAUUGAAACCGUCUUCCAACCUAUUCUUUGCCCAAAGUUGCAAUUGUAACUGUUGUCAGGACACAUGAGCACCAAGGAACAUCAAGAAAGCUAUGGCAGGCUUUCUGAGAGCUUCGCCUUCCUUACCGUCUCCUCCAGGCACAAAAAGUCCCUGUGGUUCCCCUCCGACUUGGCUGAGCUGCGGGAGCUCUCCGAGGUCCUUCGAGACUACCGGAGGGAGCACCAGGCCUACGUGUUCCUGCUCUUCUGCAGUGCCUACCUCUACAAACAGUGCUUUGCCAUCCCCGGCUCCAGCUUCCUGAACGUUUUAGCCGGUGCUUUGUUUGGGCCAUGGCUGGGGCUUCUGCUGUGCUGUGUGUUAACUUCAGUGGGUGCCACGUGCUGCUACCUGCUUUCCAGUAUGUUUGGCAAACAACUGGUGGUCUCCUACUUUCCUGAUAAAGUGGCCCUGCUGCAGAGCAAGGUGGAGGAGAACAGAAACAGCUUGUUUUUUUUCUUACUGUUUUUGAGACUUUUCCCCAUGACACCAAACUGGUUCUUGAACCUCUCGUCCCCGAUUCUGAACAUCCCCAUCGGGCAGUUCUUCUUCUCUGUGCUUAUUGGUUUGAUCCCCUACAACUUCAUCUGUGUGCAGACAGGCUCCAUCCUGUCAACCCUUACCUCUCUGGAUGCUCUUUUCUCCUGGGAAACUGUCUUGAAGCUGCUGGCCAUCGCUCUGGUGGCCUUAGUUCCUGGAACCCUCAUAAAAAAGUUCAGUCAGAAAGACCUGCAUUUGAACGAAACAAGCAAUGCCAAUCAUCUAAACGGCAGAAAGGCCAUGUGAUCUGGAUUGUUUUGGUUGUGUGUCCCUGGACUCUACUGCUUCUGUGUGUCAUGGGUGUGGUCCUCUACAGCCCCUCCUUGUUUUUUAAUUACCCUCAACGGGUGGCUUGGACAGUAUUCAUCCGGGUGCAGUGUCUCGUCAUGAAGGACACUGUGCUGUAGAAGUGGGAGUCAGGAUUGGCUCAGAAUCAGUCCAAAACGGUGUUCCAGCUCUCCACUCUCGGGUCUUUUACCAACAUUGUUUUUUAGAAGCCACACUCUCAUUUUCACCGUUCCCCUCUCUCUGCUCACUUGAUAGUAGGAUAACUAGUAACACUUACUGACUAUAAAGUGGGCAGCAGGGAAACCAGAGGGAUGAAAUAGAGCGCCUGUCUAGGCUAUGACAGAAUAACCAAGAAGAGACUAUAACAAAGCAGCGGUGCUCUCUUCCUUCUGUGAUGUGUCCAGCAAGAGCCACAGAGACCGGCUUUGCCAUCAGUUGCUUUUCCUGGCUGCAGGAAACCCAGUCGUGUGACGUCCUCCUUUCCCCAAGUUCUGACAUGCUGAGAUUUGUGAAGGUGGCUCUCAGGAGACAACCAGUACCUUUAGGAAAAGACGACCAGAAAACAGCGAAUUUUUCAGGAAGAGAGAGAAGUUUGCAGUAAUGACAUCAACUCAGCAUCAUCUGGCUACUCCUGAUUCUAUAGGACUAAAACCAUUCUCAGGAGGCCUGCCCACCAGCCAGUGAGGACAAGAAUUCUUCAGGUGUGGUCCAGCUCCAGGACAUCUGACCCACCCUGACAAAGGGGCUUGCUUGCAAGGUCUGACAAAGCACAAAACAUUGAACAGGUAGCCUGGGACUCCCAGGCCUUGUAAAGAGCUUCAUUAGUGCCAUUCAGGUAAUUGAACCAAGCGCAUCUUCCCUGACACUCGCUGCUAUUCAC